CACCAAUAAUUUGAAUAAAUCUCAUAGGAGUUAGGAUGAAGAGAUUAUCCCAUUUUCAUAUCAUGUGAUCCUAGUUUUCCUGUUUGGGAACAAGAAAACUUCUUCGUCAUUCUAAUCAAACCAGAAUGAAUGGCGAUGCAAGAAGCUUGAUUUGGAUACAAAAAAUAGUCAAGAGUCACGUUGAAGUUGAAUAAAUAUCAUAAGAGUUAGGAUGAUGAAGUUAUCCCACUUUCAAAUAAGGUAAUUUCAGUUUUCCUGUUUGGGAACAUGAAAACUCCUUCGUCAUUCUAAUCAAGCUAGGAUGAAUCGCUAUGUAAGAAGCUAUACCCAAACUAGUGGAGAAUCUCCAGGAAGUUGAAUAAAGCGCAUAGGAGUUAGGAUAAAGAAGUUAUCCCACUUUCAAAUAAGGUGAUUCUAGUUUUUCUGUUUCGGAAUAUGAUAACUUCUUCAUCAUUCUAAUCAAACCAGGAUGAAUCGCGAUGUAAGAAGCCGUAUUUGGAUACAUAAAGUAGUGGGUAAUCACCAGGAAGUUGAGUAAAUCUCAUAAGACUUAGGAUGAAGAAGUUAUCCCAGUUUCAAAUAAGGUGAUCCCAAUUUUCAUGUUUGAGAAUAUGACUACGUCAUUCUAAUCAAACCAGGAUGAAUUGCUAUGUUAGAAGCUUAAUUUUGAUACAUAGAGUAGUGGAGAAUCACCAAGAACUUGAAUAAAUCUCAUAGGAGUUAGGAUGAAGAAGUUAUCCCACUUUCAUAUCACGUGAUCCUAGUUUUCAUAUUUGUGAACAUGACAACUUCUUCAUCAUUCUAAUCAAACCUGGAUGAACGGUGUAAGAAGCUUGAUUUCGAUACAUAAAAUAGUGGAGAGUCACAUGGAACUUGACUAAAUAUCAUAAGAAUUAGGAUGAUGAAGUUAUCCCAUUUUCAAAUCAAGUGAUUUCAGUUUUCUUGUUCGGGAACAUGACAACAUCUUUGUCAUUCUAAUCAAACAAGGAUGAAUCCCAAAGUAAGAAACUUGCUUUGGAUUCAUAAGGUAGUAGUGAAUUACUUGGAAAUUGAAAUCAUCUCAUAGGAGUUAGGAUGAAGAAGUUAUCCCAAUUUCUAGUAAGGUGAUUCCAAUUUUUCAGUUUGGGAUAUGCAACUUCUUCGCUAUUAUAUUCAAACCAGGAUGAAUCGCAAUAUAAGAAACUUGAUUUGGAUACAUUAGGUAGUGGAGAAUUACUACGAAGUUUAAUUGAUCUCAUAGGAGUUAGGGAUGAAGUUAUUCCACUUUCAAAUCAGGUGAUUCCGGUUUUCCUAUCUGAGAAUAUGACAACUUCUUCGUCAUUCUAAUCAAGCCAGAAUGAAUCACAAUGUAAGAAGCUCAAUUUGGAUAGAUAAACUAGUGGAGAAUCACCAGGAAGUUGAAUAAAUCACAUAGUAGUCAGGAUGAAGAAGUUAUCCCACUUUCAAAUCAUGUGAUUCCAGUUUUCUGUUUUGGAAUAUGGCAUCUUCUUCGUCAUUUUAAUCAAACCAGGAUGAAUCGCGAUAUAAGAAGUUGUAUUUGGAUACAUUAAGUAGUGGAGAAUCCCCAUGAAGUUGAAUAAACCACAUAGGAGGUAAAAUGAAGAAGUUAUCCCACUUUCAAAUAAAAUGAUCCCAUUUUUCCUGUUUGGGAAUAUGACAACUUCUUCAUCAUUUUAAUCAAACCAGAAUGAAUGGCGAUGUAAGAAGCUUGAUUUCGAUACAGAAAAUAGUGGAGAGUCACAUGGAAGUUGAGUAAAUAUCAUGAGAGUUAGGAUGAUGAAGUUAUUCUAUUUUCAAAUCAAGUGAUUCCAGUUUUCCUGUUUAGGAACAUGACAACAUCUUUGUCAUUCUAAUCAAACCAGGAUGAAUCGCAAUGUAAGAAACUUGCUUUGGAUACAUAAGGUAGUAGAGAAUUACUUAGAAGUUGAAAUAAUCUCAUAGGAGUUAGGAUGAAGAAGUUAUUCCACUUUUUAGUAAGGUGAUUCCAUUUUUUCAGUUUGGGAAUAUGCAACUUCUUCGUUAUUCUAGUAAAACCAGGAUGAAUCGCAAUGUAAGAAACUUGAUUUGGAUACAUAAGGUAGUGGAGAAUUACUAGGAAGUUGAAUAAAUCUCAUAGGAGUUAGGGAU